GAACUAGCCUACAGUUACUCCCUGGGAGGCUGGUGAAUCCAGAGAAGUGGAGAGAGCCUAAAGGAGGCACCUUAGCGGUGAGUGGAACCCUGUGACAGUCACUCAAUAUUUGCUGCACCAGGCAGAACACUGCUGAAAGGAAACAGUAUGAAAAUACGACAGCUUUCUCCUUAAAGACAGACAGUGAGCUGGAUUCAGCUCGACACCUUCAGCCAAUGCACAUGCAGCUCCUCAGGCAGGCGGUGGAGAGGAGGAUGCUUUUUGGAGACGUGUUGGGCUCACAGAAAAUACUGAUUUGUGAGGAACACGGACUGAGAUGAUCUAUCUAGUGAAAGUAACGUUAAGCUGAAAUGGCUGCCCUCAGCUGAGUCUUGGAUCCAGUCAAGGACCUUGUUAAAUCCUCUGGGUGGGCCCAACACCUUCCGUCAGGCUCAACUGAAGGACCAAUAAAGCCCCUUGAUGUUAAGACAGUUGCAAACAGGAGGCUACCAUCCAAGGACUAGCUGUGUGCCAGGCUAAGUGGUUUCCAAUGUUGAUUUGCAGCCUGUGUGUGUCAGAGGCCAAGAAAGGCUGUAGAAGGAGUUGUGAGGCUGACCUGAGAGGAAGCAGGGACACCACCUUGGGCACAGAACU